rnacentral:rRNA from 1 species
UACAGAGGUCUCAAGCGUUGUUCGGAUUCAUUGGGCGUAAAGGGCGCGUAGGCUGCGGGGCAAGUCGGGUGUGAAAGUCUCAAGAGCUCAACUCUGAAACUGCAUUCGAUACUGCCGUGCUUGAGGACUGGAGAGGAGACUGGAAUUUACGGUGUAGCGGUGAAAUGCGUAGAUAUCGUAAGGAAGACCAGUGGCGAAGGCGGGUCUCUGGACAGUUCCUGACGCUGAGGCACGAAGGCCAGGGGAGCAAACGGG